rnacentral:piRNA from 1 species
UCCUAACCAAGCGCGGUGUGAAAGA